UGACCCCAGGUCAGGCGGGAUUACCCGCUGAAUUUAAGCAUAUCAAUAAGAAGAGGAAAACAAACUUACUAGGAUUCUGUCAGUAACAGCGAGCAAACCGGGAAGAACCCAACUCUAUAAUCGGUCGCCCUCGGUGUCUGAAUUAUAGUCUGGAGAAGCAUCCUUAGUGAUAGAAUGUGAAAGCCCCAUCACGCCCGGACCCUGUCGCACCACGAGUCACUGUCUACGAGUCAUUUUGUUUGGGAAUGAUGCCUUACUCAGGCGGUAAAUUCGUCUAAGGCUAAAUACGGGUGAGAGACCGAUAACGAACAAGUACCGCGAGGAAAACAUGAAAAGGACUUUGAAAAGAGAGUCAAAGAGUGCUUGAAAUUAUCAAAAGAGUGCUUGAAAUUAUAGUAGAGAAGCGGAAAAAAGCCGAUGAUGCACCCCGAUCGGAUGUAGAAUGACGACAACCAGUCCGGAGAUCAGCUCGAGACGUGGAUUGACGUGGAUCGUAGUGGCGGCAUAAGAACGGGCCAUUUAUACGCUACAGAGAAGUCGUUACCUCGAUUAUGGAACCUAACACUCACCGUCUUGGCUCGUUUCGGCAUAAGCCUACUCAGGGCUUCGCCUGCGAGCUCCCCAUCCGACCCUUCUUGCAACACAAACCAAGGAGUCUAACAUGUGUACGAUUCAAUAGGCAAAAACCCUGUAAGGCUCAAGGAAGCUAAUUAGCAGAAUCCGUCACGGGUGCACUGCCGACUGAAGUUGAUAUUCUCAGAAGGGCCGAGUGAGAACAUGCCUAUCGGGACCCGAAAGAUGGUAAAAUAUGACUGAGUAUGGCGAAGCCAGUGGAAACUGGUGAAGGCCCGCAACGAUUCUGACGUGCAAAUCAUUCGUCUGACUUGGGUAUAGGGGUGAAAGACUAAUCAAACCAUCUAGUAGCUAGUUCCCUCCAAAGUUUCCCUCAGGAUAGUUAUAGCCCUUUACGAGUUCUAUCAGGUAAAGCCAAUGAUUAGAGGCAAUGGGGGCCCAAUGCCCUCGAUCUAUUCUCAAACUUUAAAUAGAUUGGAUGGUACGACUGCUUCAUUGAGCCAUUUCAUGGAAUCGAGAGCUCCAAGUAGACCAUUUUUGUAAGCAGAACUGGCGAUACUAGAUGAACCGAAAGCAAGGUUAUUGAGCCCAACUACACGCUAACCUAUAACCCCCAAAGGGUAUUGGUCAAUUAAGAUAGCAGGAAGGUGGUCAUGGAAGUUGAAAUCCACUAAGGAGUGUGUAAAAACUCACCUACCGAAUCAAGUAGCCCCAAAAAUGGAUAGCGCUUAAGCACGGGACUUAUAUCUGAUCGUUGGGGUAAAGGGAAGGCCUUGAUGAGUAUGAGGGUGCAGCGGUCGCUGUAAAACCUGGUACGUGAGCCCUAGCAGAGCAUCUGUCAGUACAGAUCUCGGUGGUAGUACCAAAUAUUCAAAUGAAAACUUUGAAGGCCAAAAAAGGGAAAGGUUCCAUAUGAACGACACUUGCACAUGGGUUAGUCGAUCCUAAGAGAUGGGGGAAACACGUCCGAUAGCACGUUCCGUGUGAGCUUCGAAAGAGGAUCGAGUUAAAGUUCCUAAAUCGGGACACGACGGCUGACAGUAACAUUAAAGAGUCUGAAGAUGUCGGAGGGGGCCUCGGGAAGAGUUAUCUUUUCUGUUUAACUGCCUGUCCACCCUAGAAAUGGCUCAAUCGGAGGUAGGCUCCAGCGGUCGAAAGGCCGAGUAUCAUCCGCGCUCGAUCAUACUCAUAACCGCAUCAGGUCUCCACGGUGAACAACCUCUUGUCGAUGGAACAAUGUAGGCAAGGGAAGUCAGCAAAAUGGAUCCACAUCCUGGGAAGAGGAUUGGUUCUAAGGGUUGGGCACGGGGGUCCCAGUCCCGAACUCGUUGGCUGCCGGUGCAUUGCUGAAACUAUUCCCGCAGCGAAAGCGGGUCAUCGCGUGCUGAUCAGGGGACGGACUGGGAACGGCUCCUUCGGUGUUCUUCCUCGGGAAACGAAUAGUCAACUCAGAAUUGGUACGGACUAGGCUAAUAUAAUUAUUUAAUUAAAACAAAGCAUUGUGAUGGUCUCUGCGGAUGCUCACGCAAUGUGAUUCUGCCCAGUGCUAUGAAUGUCAAAGUGAAAAAAUUCAACCAAGCGCAGGUAAAAGGCGGGAGUAACUAUGACUCUCUUAAGGUAACCAAAUGCCUUGUCAUCUAAUUAGUGGAAUUCAUUAAAGGAUUAACGAGAUUCCCACUGUCCCUGCCUAUUAUCCAGUGAAACCACAUCCAAGGGAACGAGUUUGGCAGAAUCAGCGGGGAAAGAAGACCCUGUUGAGCUUGACUUUAGUCUGACUUUGUGAAAUGACUUGAGAGGUGUAGGAUAAGUGGGAGCUCUAGGGAUAAAUUGAAAUAACACUACUAUUAAUGUUAUCUUACUUAUUCAGUGAAUUGGAAGUAAGGAACGACCCCUCUUUUUGGACCCAAGGCUGACUUUUGUUGGUCGAUCUGGGCGAAGACAUUAUCAGGUGGGGAGUUUGGCUGGGGUGACACAUCUGUUAAAAGAUAAUGCUGUUGUCCUAAGAUAAUCUCAAAGAGAACACAAAUCUCAUGUGGAAAAGGGUAAAAGCUCGUUUUAUUCUGAUUUCCAGUAUAAAUAUGAACCAUGAAAGCGUGACCUAUUGAUCCUUUGACCUUCAAAAUUUGAAGCUAGAGGUGUCAGAAAAGUUAGCACAUGGAUAACUGGCUUGUGGUAGCCAAGCAUUCAUAGGGACAUUGCUUUUUGAUCCUUCGAUGUCCGCUCUUCCUAUCAUUGUGAAGCACAAUUACCAAGUGUUGGGUUUAGACCAUCGUGAGACAUGUUAGUUUUACCCUACUGAUGGUCGUCAUAAUAGUAAUUCAACAUAGUAUGAGAGGAACCAUUGAUUCGCACAAUUGGUCAUCGCCCUUGGUUGAAAAGCCAAUGGUGCGAAGCUACCGUGCGAUGGAUUAUGACAGAACGCUUCUAAGUCAGAAUCUGAGCUAGAAGUGACUCAUGUGCCCGUCGCCCGAUUACCGACCCGUAGUAGGGGCGUUGACCCCCAAGGGCUCAUGUCGUGGGUGCUGCACGCGUAUCAGACAAGUCGCGGUGCCUCCCUGGAAUGUAAUUUCUACCAAGCGGCAGGUAGAAUCCUUUACAGAUGACUUAAAUACGCGAUGGGGUAUUGUCAGUGGCAGAGUAGCCUUACUACCAUGAUCCACUGAGAUUCGACUCUUUGUCGCUUCGAUUUGU